CGCGCGUAGCAGCCGACUACCACGGCGGAAGGAAGUUUUUGUUUUUCCUGAUGGAUAUUUCUGGGUUUUUCCGUUGAAUAUGUUGUUUGUUGGGUCUUCCUAACAUCGCAGUUCACAUCAGCUGAUAAUGGCCAGUCGGCAGCCCACGACCACGCCGGAAGGACGUACGAACAAAUUUGAAAAUUAAAUUUCAGAAGAUCCAAUUUGUAUGAGGGAUUUAAUUUUUUUGUUGGGUUUACUCUGUGUAAAUAAAGAUGUAAAUAUGCAAAUAUAGUAAAUAUGCAAAUAUAGUUUUAUCUUUCCAUUUUUUUUGGCUGUAAUACACAUGCAUAUCAUGUAAUUACAUAAUAUAAGAAAUAGAUUCAUACAAUACAGUUAAUUUUUA